CUGAUUUCUGUGUUGGAGAGGGAAGACAGUUUGAGACAAACUUUGUAAUUUUCUUCCAGAACAAAUUACUUAAAUGCAGAACUUUGGGAAGUUAGUCUUGGUGCUCCCUCCCUCCCUUCCCCUACUUUAGAGAGGGGGGGGGAAAAAAAAAAAAAAAAUCUCAUUUUAACCUAUUUUAGCAAGACUAUAAGAUGAUAACUGGGCAAUUUCUUAUUGUUAGUUGGAAACCACCAGAAAUACCAAACCCAGGUUGCUUUGGAGAAGAACCACCUGGAUUUGUGAUAGCACUGGGUUAUUACCCAAAGAUUAUCUAUUGACAAAAGCAAUGCAGCAUUUACUUAGAGGUAAGGCCAGCAUUUCUUGCCAUUAACGAAAAUAUCUAAAUUCCUGAGAGCAUUUUACAGGCUGUACUUGUUCAGAGAAAACAGCAGUGCCCUAUAGCAGCUGCUUUGUGUUUCAUAGAUAUUCAUGUAACUAAAAAUUGUUUUACACUCUGAACCACCAAACAUUACUGUUUGUAGGAUCUUAUAUUUCCAGAUUUCCCACUUCUCUGGGAACAAGCAACAUGAAACCUUGUGUGUUUGAAGGGGACAGCUUUUCUCCAUCGAGUACAUUUUAAAGAGACUGCUGCCUCCAGAUCAUUUCACCUGUUCCAGUAACAGGCUGGAGAAGCACUGGUCUGGAUUUUUAACCAGGUGCAGUAAAGAUGUGUGAGAAAUGGAUUUUCCCAGGCAAGAGCGAGGACCCUCUUUUCCACCAUGGUACAUUCCACAUCAUCAUCAAUUAGCACCACGUCCUUUUUCAGAGCUUUGAUAGCAAAGAAUUCGUUCUUCCCUUUCAGCUCGGCAAGCAGAACCUCCAAAAAAUAAAAGGUGAGAGUACAGCACACGUAGGAAAGACUGGUGCUGAUGUAUCAGUGCAGGAAAGCCAAAGGUGUUCACAGCAGGUGCACUGACAAUUCAAAAAACCACAUCUAAAUGGGAAAGAUGAGGGAGAUUUGGGAAGGUGAAGCUGCUGGACACUGAGAUGAGGAGAUGGGGCUCAAGGACCACACAGCACAGGCUCAGCAGUUUUUCUGUCAAUGUCUUGUGAGCGUAUAAACAGCAGCCAUGUAAAGCCUGUUCUGUCACUAGAGCUGUAGCUCCAGAGACAGCAGUGGACAGAGCCUGUGGAGGUCGCACUGCUCUCUCAGACAUCCCCUGCCAUUGCACUGGGGCCUUGUGAGGCUGUUUCUGUUUGGAGGGAACAGAACUAAAAGAUCCAUAUCCGUACUGUGUGCAUUAAAGGGCAGUUCCUCUGCCUCGAUACUAAACACUGACAAACUGCUGUGCAUGAUGCAUCACCUUUGGGUUUAGACAAGAUCCAGCUGAUGAAAUUCUAGUGUCUUUGACAAAGAUGUCUAUAUACAAUUCUGUCAGAUGAUUACUGACCUAAGAAGCUGUGAGACCUUUCUGGUUAAAGGAAAUAGCCCAUCACAUUGCAGAGACCAAGCGAGGCAGACACCUUAAGCUCUCAGUGUGUCACAUACCUUUCCAAAGCUUCCUUUCCCCAGCACUUUGUGGAAGACAAAGCUGUCUAUGUUGAAUUUUCUCCUUGCAAUUCUUGACACUGUCUCAGCUGUGCGGCCCUCCCAGAGCUUAUCAUACUCACUGUUAUCUGCUGAGCAAAACAGGGAGGGGAAAGUUCAGUGCAUGCAGGAACACUGCAGGACUCAGAGCCCUGGGUAGGAAUUAGGUACUAACAUAGUAUAUUUCAAUGCAUCUGCUGCUGGAAUUACUGGUGAACCUAAGCAUAAGGGGCAACUCCUGUGUAAGCUUUUUGUGUGGCCAGGAGAUGGUAAAAUGAAAUACAUGCUGCUUUUUUAAACAGCACUUACUAAAAAAUCCUGUCUAACACAAGGCAGGAAUGAACAACGACUUAAAUUGUCUGGUAGGUAAGUGGCUGUAUUGAAACAUUGAUUGUUUUCUCACCUGUUGUGUCUCCUCCUGGAGCUUUAUGUUUCUUAUCAAAAUCCUGAUAAAUACCAACACUUUCUACAGAUCCAGAAUCAGACCUUCGUGUAGAUUUCUGAGGAGAAGGGGAACAUUUGAAAUUAUAUUAGCACUGUUACUUUAGAAAUAGAGUAAUAGCUUUACAUUUAACAUGAUGGUAGCAUAAACUUUUAAUUAUUAACUCCCAGUAAAUAUCUUUUCUCAAGAAGUCUGGUUCAUAGACUAUUUAGUCACCUUCUUCACAGCUUCACAUCAGCCAUUUGCUUUACUUCCUUCACUGCAAGAAAAUAAAUCACAAAUUCCUGAACAGUCUAUGUUGUAUUGUUCACUGCAAAAUUAUUAAAGGGAUAAUGGUUUGAAUCCACAGUGGGAAGAAUUUGACCUGCGGGAAAAUGUCCCCUUGCAUGUGUGUUCAUGUGAAAGAGGAGAUGGGAAUCACUGUUAUCCUGGACAUGCUGAAGUCAUAUCUUGAUGUGACAUCUGUCUUUAGCACAGGGAAGCCUCUUUUACAUAUGGAAGAUCCCCGAGAUCAAAUUUCAGUAAUGAAAAGAUUGAGCUCCAGUGUCAUGAAAGAGCUGGUGCAACAGCUCUCACUGUUUUCAAAGUAAAUAUCCUGUGAAAGCUUAGGAAUACACAUCUCAGAGGAAGCGCUGUUGGCUUUUGUGAGAGAUUUUCCUGUUUUAUUUCAGAGCUUGUGUCUGAAUCUUUAUUUGCAGAAGCUGACCACAAAAGAAUCAUGCUGGAGCAGGAGAUGAACAAGGCAAGCUAUGGGGCCAGGAUUAAUUCCAGAGGGGUUUUCUGUGUGUGUGUAUAUAUUUGUAUCAGAAGAAUAAAAAUUGAGAAAAUGUG